UACGGGGGGAGCAAGCGUUGUUCGGAUUUACUGGGCGUAAAGGGCGCGUAGGCGGCCACCGCAAGUCGGUUGUGAAAUCUCUGGGCUUAACCCAGAAAGGUCAAUCGAUACUGCGGGCUAGAGUGCAGAAGGGGCAACUGGAAUUCUCGGUGUAGCGGUGAAAUGCGUAGAUAUCGAGAGGAACACCUGCGGCGAAGGCGGCUCGCUGGGCCGGACCUGACGCUGAGACGCGAGGGCGUGGGGAGCGAACGGG
rnacentral:rRNA from 1 species